rnacentral:rRNA from 1 species
GACGAACGCUGGCGGCGUGCUUAACACAUGCAAGUCGAACGGAAAGGCCCUGCUUGCAGGGUACUCGAGUGGCGAACGGGUGAGUAACACGUGGGUGAUCUGCCCUGCACUUCGGGAUAAGCCUGGGAAACUGGGUCUAAUACCGGAUAGGAGCCAUUUUUAGUGUGAUGGUUGGAAAGUUUUUUCGGUGUAGGAUGAGCUCGCGGCCUAUCAGCUUGUUGGUGGGGUAAUGGCCUACCAAGGCGGCGACGGGUAGCCGGCCUGAGAGGGUGGACGGCCACAUUGGGACUGAGAUACGGCCCAGACUCCUACGGGAGGCAGCAGUGGGGAAUAUUGCACAAUGGGCGCAAGCCUGAUGCAGCGACGCCGCGUGGGGGAUUACGGCCUUCGGGUUGUAAACUCCUUUCGCUAGGGACGAAGCUUUUGUGACGGUACCUAGAUAAGAAGCACCGGCUAACUACGUG